UACGAAGGGGGCUAGCGUUGCUCGGAAUCACUGGGCGUAAAGGGUGCGUAGGCGGGUCUUUAAGUCAGGGGUGAAAUCCUGGAGCUCAACUCCAGAACUGCCUUUGAUACUGAGGAUCUUGAGUUCGGGAGAGGUGAGUGGAACUGCGAGUGUAGAGGUGAAAUUCGUAGAUAUUCGCAAGAACACCAGUGGCGAAGGCGGCUCACUGGCCUGAUACUGACGCUGAGGCACGAAAGCGUGGGGAGCAAACAGG
rnacentral:rRNA from 1 species